UACGUAGGGGGCAAGCGUUGUCCGGAUUUACUGGGCGUAAAGAGCGCGCAGGCGGUCGGAUAAGUCGAAUGUGAAAGCCCCCGGCUUAACUGGGGAGGGUCAUUCGAUACUGUUCGACUGGAAGGCAGGAGAGGGAAGCGGAAUUCCCGGUGUAGUGGUGAAAUGCGUAGAUAUCGGGAGGAACACCAGUGGCGAAGGCGGCUUCCUGGCCUGUUCUUGACGCUGAGGCGCGAAAGCUAGGGGAGCAAACGGG
rnacentral:rRNA from 1 species